GUAGUCUCUCCUUUCGUUGGUUCCUUUUUACCUCAAACAGCGAAUGGGACAAAAGCCAUCUCCCCGUCGCCACUGCCUCCACGAGGUCGCGUUAAGGAAGGGCGACUGCUGCCCCCGUUUUCCCACCCUCGGCGGCGUCGAUCCGUGUCAACACCGCGUUCUCGAAUCUAGAUAGAGAGAGAGAGAGAGAGAGAGAGAGAGAGAGAGAGAGAGAGAGAGAGAGAGAGGACCCGUGUCCCUCCUCUUCUUCUUCUGCGUCUUUAUCUUUUUCGUUUUCCUUUUUUCUUGUGUGUAAAUAGGAUUAGAAAGGGAAUUCUAUUUAAUUUCGUCAGCCUUUAAAGACCCCGGUCAGACUCGGUCUCCUUCGAGCUCUCGAUCUUGAUCUUGAUUGGAGAAAGAAAGACUGCCGCCGCCGCCGCCGCCGCCGCCGCCGCCGGGAUCUUGAUUUCGAUUCUGAUUGAGAAUUUGGUUCCGUUUCCGCCUCCGAUCGGUCGCUGGUGCGGGGUUUAGAGGAUCUUGAUAGAAGUUGGCGAAAGAAGUGAGACAGAUCGCCUGAGAAGGGGCGGAGGGAUGUCGGGAAUGAUCGCGGGGUGCUGAAAGAUUAUGGAAGUGGUUUACCUUGGUGGCGGAGAUGACGCUUUACAUUGCUCGCGAGGCUUCCAAGCUAUGGCGGAAGGUUUGCAUGGAGAUUUCUGUGGAACUCCAGCUUCUGCUGGAGAAGUGGAAGCUUCUGCUUGCAGGACUCGUUUUCCAGUAUUUUCAUGGAUUGGCUGCUCGAGGAGUUCAUUAUCUGCAUCGUCCUGGACCAACUCUUCAAGAUCUUGGAUUCAUGGUUCUUCCGGAACUUGGGAAAGAAAGAGGUUACAUCAGUGAAAGUGUAUUCACUGGCAUCUUCUUGUCUUUUGUGCUGUGGACGUUUCAUCCUUUCAUAUAUCACAGCAAACGCUUCUACACUGUUCUACUCUGGCGCAGAGUGUUGGCAUUUUUAGUUGCUUCUCAGGUUUUACGGAUCAUUACAUUUUAUUCCACCCAACUUCCUGGUCCAAAUUAUCACUGUCGCGAGGGUUCAGAGCUUGCUAGACUGCCCAGACCAGACAGUGUAUUUGAAGUGCUUCUCAUUAACUUCCCACAGGGAGUCAUUUAUGGUUGUGGUGAUUUGAUAUUUUCAUCACACAUGAUAUUUACACUGGUUUUUGUGCGUACAUAUCAAAAGUAUGGCUCUAAAAGGUUUGUCAAGCUGCUCGCCUGGUUGCUGGCUAUCAUUCAGAGUCUACUCAUAAUAGCUUCACGCAAGCAUUACACAGUAGAUGUUGUCGUUGCAUGGUAUACUGUAAAUUUGGUGGUAUUCUUUGUUGACAAGAAACUACCAGAAAUGCCAGAUCGAACUGGUGGAUCCCCACCAUUGUUGCCCUUGAGUGUCAAAGAUAAGGACAGCAGGGCCAAAGAAGAGAACCACAAGCUGUUAAAUGGGAAUUCAGCAGAGACUGCUGAUUGGAGACAAAGACCGCAACUAAAUGGUAAGCUUGUGGAAAAUGGGAACCAUGUCCAUUCUGAAGCAACGUUGAAUGGAACAUAGAUGAUGUAAUGGCUUGGCAGCAUGGGUGCUUAUUAGUCCAUAACCUCGUAGGAAGCAGAAUUUUGCUUUGGCCGGUAACAGUUUUGCUUGUUUCAUGUUCCGUGCUGGGGAGAAGACGAUGCAAUUAAUGUCCUACAUCUAAAACAUUCAUGGGGCACAGGAGAAGCCUUGUGUGGAGCAACUUGUGAUAGCUUUGGUACGUGUGUGUCGGAGCAGCAACAAGUGGGAAGCACGCCUAGCGCGAUUGUCGAAGAAGCAAGUACCUUGAUGAGGCACCCACCGCACCGUUAGAUGACAUACAUAGCAUUAACUCCUCUGGAUUCAUAGAGUCCGAGAACUUACCUACAAUCUGCUGCAUUGACUGCCAUCGUAGGUGGUUCCCACGCCGCACAGGCUGCACAGUUCGUAAAGGAGGAAUGUUACAAACGCUUACUUGAACUCACUUUGUCCAGACCACCUACACACCAUCCUCGCUAACAUGCAGGCUCCAAAAAGAGUUAGUCUCUUCCUUGUCGUGGGCCGUUGUGAGCAGCUCUCAACCUGCUACCCUGUUCGAGAAGAAAUACUUCACGUACAUGUCUGCAUUGAUAAAUACACUAGUAGUAUGCGCACCUUUUCUCGAUAUUGUUGCUCUGCAGUUCAACAUAAAUCAUGUAAAUGAAUUUUGCUCGCACUGAGAAACGAGACCUCGUGCGACAUGUAUAAUAAAUUUUUUUUGGUGUUCCUCUUGUAUUUGAGAAAUUAAAAGAGAGCAUUUUCCUUUUUAAUUCAAGCCAUGUAUGGUCGCACUUGCUUGCUUUUCAGCGACACAAUGACUUUUAAAGGCAUGGGAUUUUGGUUGUUUCUACUGCUGUUUGUUAUUUGCAUGCUUUGCAAAGAGCUAUUUAGCUCAAGAAAAAAAAUGAGUAUAUUAAUUAUCCGAAAGCCAAUGCUAAUUAAUAAUAGAUUGAUAGCUCCACGACAUUUUAGGCUCACUGGUACAAAAAAUGAACAAAUAUUCAAGUGCGAAUGCAGAAAAAUAUACGUUAAGAACAUAAUUUCAGACAUGACUUUCUGAAGCACAAAUAAGUCAUAACAAUGCAACAUCAAAGAUCGUAUUACGAUGCAGGCAUAAGUUAUAUGUCAAAAGGACUCUCAAUGUCCAACCCAUUACAUAAAGGCAUAUAUUGGUUAAGACCUAUAUGACAGUAAAAGUGCUGAAUGUAAGAAAUACCAUCAGCAAAGUAAGCAACCUGAUAUAUUCAAGCUUUAGAAAUUAUUUUCUGGAGUAAGCUAAAUGUAUAACUUUCAGAUAUUUAAUAUUUAAAAAUAAGGAAUAAAAACAUGGUUAACAAGAUAAUUCCCACCUUGUUAUUGAAGGCGGGCAUGUGGCCCCUACACACCAAGCCUCUUUUCAGAUUAAACACAUGGCAUUUUGACCCUUAUCAAGAAAAAUAAUUUCAUGUCCCCAAAUUUCUCAUGCAAUGUGCUCACUAAACCUUUCAUAAUUUGGCUUCGCUAAAACUUGGGAAUAAAAAGGUAGCCCAGUAUAUGAGACUCCCAUCAUUGCAGAAUCUGCGGAGGGUCAGAUAUACUCAACCUUAUCCCCGCAUGGGGAGAGGUUGUUUUUGUGUUUUGAACCCAUGACCUUUGAGUCACAAUGGAACAAUCUUACCAUUAAACCAAGGCUUAGUCUCAUGCUCUAAAAUUUGGAAAUAUACAAGGGAAAUAUGAGACCCUACCAUGUAUUUUCGGAAAACCUUCAUAUUUCCAAAUUACAAGUACAUAUGACCGCUUGCUGCUUUUGUUCCUUAUAUCAUUUCCAACACCCAAUUUCGAACAUGGUAACUAUAGUUCAGUUCCUUUUUUUGUUAAAGAAUAAAAGAAAAGAGAAAGGGACAAACUUUUAUUUGAUGACUAGUCACAAUGCUAAUACAUGACAAUUAUUGCUUGCUAAACAAUUCAAUCCAUCAAACACACACAAACAACUACUUUCACGUGCCUUCUAUUUGAAAGUGCACUUUAUAAGUCUAUCUCUUGUUAAUAACCAGUUAAGAUACAAAAGGUAACAAUACUAACAUAAAACCCCUAUCUGUUAAGGAGCACAUCACAUAAAUCAUGGAUUGGACCCUAUAGAACACCCCCCUCCCCUCAAGGUCAAUUUUUUUUCCUUCAAAGAGGGCUAGGUCUGGUCUAGGGUCUUAUAGAGGAAAGCUAACUGCUUGCUGGUUGGGAGCUGUAUGAGUGGUAAUGUCCACGUGCAACUCCAUGAGAAGGUGGACAGAAAUGGUCUUUUUCGAGUACUUUUUUCCUUUGUGGCAGGACCGAACUCCUUACCUUUUUAAAGAACUGGCUGUAGUGGAAUGGUUUCAGUCAGUUAGCUCAAUCAUAAAUAGAUAAACCGACGAGUGGGAUAGGAACCAGAUU